rnacentral:lncRNA from 1 species
UGAGAAACUGCUCAACCAAGGAGAUAAAAGGCCAGCGCUGUGCUGGCUACACUCACAGCAUUUUAAACCUGACUGCUACCGAGGCCCUGCCCCGGCGCGGAGCAGGAAGAGGGGCCGCAGGCAUGAGAGGGCCUUGCUCAGUGGCCAAGGGGAGGGCUGGGCAGAGUCUAGCCAGGUCGCCGUGCCCUGCCGCCCCGGGGACCAGCCUGCCCACACGGACCCCGGGAGAGCGCUCCAGGCAGCAGAGAGCGAGCAGAAUUCCCGGGCUGUGUGCCCGGAUCGGAUCGCGCGGGAAACGGGCCAGAUUGCUGCGAGGACAAGCCCGCGCACAGGAAAUGCACGGGAAAUGUACAGGUACCCCCUGCGGGCGUGCCCCCGGGUCUCUGCCUCCUGCCAGAAAGGUCCCACGACUGGUACCCCGAGACCCCNCCCCCCCCCCCCCCCCCCGCCAGGCGUGAAACCAUAUCAAGUGGGCAACAGCAGAGGGGUAUUUGGUUCUUUUCUUGGGGUCCUUCUUCCAGCGCGCACUCUCCUCCGCCAGCCCCAGCACCUGGCCCAGCCCGCUUCUAACCAGGCAGCCAAGAGUGCCCGCUAAGGUCUGGCUGGCAUCAGACAGUGUUGAGUUCAAACCCGAGCGGAGCCGAAAACUCCUUGGCUAGGUGACCUUGGGCAGAUAGCUUGCCCUUUCUUUUCUGGGCCUGUUUCCUUUCUGUAACAGGGAAGGUGUCGUCUACUCCCCGCAAGGGCCGUGGGAGUUCCUGUCAGUGCCGAGAAAAGGCUUUGGCCUGUCGGGUGGAGAAAUGGCCUGAUUCCUUCCAGAAGUUUCCAGCGUUUCCAUGCUCCUGAGAGGCACCUCCCGAACUCUUGUUGUUCAGGGAAACAUGGGCUCCACUUGCGUUAGGGAGGAUUUAUCUUAUUUUUAAAGGGGUUGAGGCCACUUUGCAAUCAGAGCCCUCGUGGUUGGAGCAGAGAAGAUCCUAGGAAGGGCUAUUAAUCAAGGCGCCUUAAGGACAUGCAAAUCAGGAGACAGCUCAAGUGAUUAGGGUAUGAUGGGGCCUGGGGUCCAGCCUUUAUCCCCAUCUGAGAGAACCAGAGGCCCGCUGGGGGUGGCAGCCAGUGGGCCUCCAUGGGGGCUGGGGACAGUGAGUGCAGGGGAGAGGCCAGGAGAGACAGCCAUUCAAAGGUAGCCAAAGGACCCCGAUGGCCGUGCUGAUGGGGCACCCCUCCUGGCUCCCUGCGUUCCCUGCAGGGCUUGGGGCCCGACAGCCCUGGCAGGAGCCUCUGCCUGGCCUGAAUGGGUCCCUCUUCCUAAUAAUCAGAGAGUGACACUUUGGGAGAGACGGCGGGGGCGGGGGGGCAGGGAAUAUGGUGUUGGUGAUCUGGCAGCAUCUACAACGUGAUAGAUGUCCCCACCUCGCGAGGACUCAGAGGUUCCACAUCUGCGGACCUGACCUAAAGAAAUAGGCUGGUGUAGGGGCGCCUGGGUGGCUCAGUCCGUUAAGCGGCCGACUUCGGCUCAGGUCACGAUCUCACGGUCCGCGGGUUCGAGCCCCAGGUCGGGCUCUGUGCCGACAGCUCGGAGCCCAGAGCCUGCUUCUCCCUCUCUCCCUGCCCCUCCCCCACCCGCACUCUGUCUCCCUCUGUCUCAAAAAUAAACAUUAAAAAAAUUAAAAAAAAAAAAGAAAUAGGCCGGUGUGUGUACAAGGAUGCCAUCUUGGGGAUGGACACAUUAAUGAAAACACCGCAAUCAAACAAGCGUCCGAUAAGGGGAUUUUUUGAGCUGCUUACGGAACGUGUUUACCGUGGGCUCGCCUAUCUCCCUGAAAAACGAUGAUGCAGAUGUGGAAAGAGGGCCACAUUGCAAAACACUAGGUGGUGAAGCCCAUAUCUGGGGGAAAAAAAAGGAUAUCUCUAGAAAAAUCUGGAAGGGAGGGUAGUCACACUAGUUACUCUGGAGGGGGUAGAUUUCAGGUUGUUGAUACUUUCUUCUUUUGUGUUAAUUUUCUUAUGGUGAUGCGCAUAUAUUACAGGUGUGAUCAAUAAAGCUCUUUUCUCUUCUCUUUUUAAGGAAACCGCCCUGCUGGCUGGCUCAGUUGGUGGAGCGUGCGACUCUUGAUCUUGGGGUUGUGAGUUCGAGCCCCGUGUUGGGUGGAGAGAUGGCUUAAAAAUAAAAUCUUUAACAGAAAAAAAAAAAAAGAAAAAGUAAACUGCUCUGUGGCCUGACCUCACAUCUCCCCGGGUCUUGUCGGUGAGUCCCCUUUCUAGCACAGAGCUGCUUCCCAACAUUUGUGUACAAAUGUUCACAUCAAGGGGAAUAAAUAAAACUAUAAAUAGCUUCCUGUCAAUGGAGGUCAGGUGUUGCUUCCACAUGAAUUUACCAUUAUCUUACAAAAGAACUUUAGGUUUGCAGGCCCUUUAUUCAUUUCAG